rnacentral:rRNA from 1 species
UACGGGGGGGGCAAGCGUUGUUCGGAAUUACUGGGCGUAAAGGGCGCGUAGGCGGUUCGCUAAGUUGGAUGUGAAAACUCUGGGCUCAACCCAGAGCCUGCAUCCAAAACUGGCGGGCUAGAGUUCUGGAGGGGGUAGCGGAAUUCCUGGUGUAGCGGUGAAAUGCGUAGAUAUCAGGAGGAACACCGGUGGCGAAGGCGGCUACCUGGACAGAAACUGACGCUGAGGCGCGAAAGCGUGGGGAGCGAACAGG